AUUGAACGCUGGCGGCAUGCCUUACACAUGCAAGUCGAACGGUAACGGGCCUUCGGGUGCCGACGAGUGGCGAACGGGUGAGUAAUGUAUCGGAACGUACCUUUCAGUGGGGGAUAACGUAGCGAAAGUUACGCUAAUACCGCAUAUUCUGUGCGCAGGAAAGCAGGGGAUCGCAAGACCUUGCGCUGAUUGAGCGGCCGAUAUCAGAUUAGCUAGUUGGUGAGGUAAAGGAUCACGAAGGCGACGAUCUGUAGCGGGUCUGAGAGGAUGAUCCGCCACCCUGGAAAUGAGACACGGUCCAGACUCCUACGGGAGGCAGCAGUGGGGAAUUUUGGACAAUGGGGGCAACCCUGAUCCAGCCAUGCCGCGUGAGUGAAGAAGGCCUUCGGGUUGUAAAGCUCUUUCGGCCGGGAAGAAAUCGUAUCAGCUAAUACCUGGUGCGGAUGACGGUACCGGCAUAAGAAGCACCAGCUAACUACGUGCCAGCCGCCGCAGUAACAC
rnacentral:rRNA from 1 species